UUAGAAUAGGGGAGCUUAACUUAUUGGAGAGUUGAUAUUAAGUUAAGAUCCCUAAUUCUAAGA
rnacentral:pre_miRNA from 1 species